GGAAGCGCAUGGGGUCCGGUGAUCCUCCCGGUCUUCAAAACCGGCGGGCGGCAGGAAUCCUGUCGCCGGUGCGUUCGACUCGCACACGCUUCCGCCA
rnacentral:tRNA from 1 species